rnacentral:rRNA from 1 species
UGCCAGCAGCCGCGGUAAUACGGAGGGUGCAAGCAUUAAUCGGAUUUAUUGGGCGUAAAGAGCGCGUAGGCGGAGAACUAAGUCAGACGUGAAAUCCCAGAGCUCAACUCUGGAACUGCGUUUGAAACUGGCUCCCUAGAGGAUAGGCGGAGAAAGUAGAAUUCCACGUGUAGCGGUGAAAUGCGUAGAUAUGUGGAAGAAUACCAGUGGCGAAGGCGACUUUCUAGCUUACUCCUGACGCUGAGGCGCGAAAGCAAGGGGAGCGAACAGGAUUAGAUA